rnacentral:rRNA from 1 species
CCUACGGGUGGCUGCAGUGGGGAAUAUUGGACAAUGGGCGAAAGCCUGAUCCAGCCAUGCCGCGUGUGUGAAGAAGGCCUUCGGGUUGUAAAGCACUUUCAGUGGGGAAGAAAGCCUUGGGGCUAAUACCCUCGAGGAAGGACAUCACCCACAGAAGAAGCACCGGCUAACUCCGUGCCAGCAGCCGCGGUAAUACGGAGGGUGCGAGCGUUAAUCGGAAUUACUGGGCGUAAAGCGCGCGUAGGCGGUCUGAUAAGCCGGUUGUGAAAGCCCCGGGCUCAACCUGGGAACGGCAUCCGGAACUGUCAGGCUAGAGUGCAGGAGAGGAAGGUAGAAUUCCCGGUGUAGCGGUGAAAUGCGUAGAGAUCGGGAGGAAUACCAGUGGCGAAGGCGGCCUUCUGGACUGACACUGACGCUGAGGUGCGAAAGCGUGGGUAGCAAACAGGAAUAGAUACCCCGGUAGUC